GUGGGGAAUAUUGCACAAUGGGGGAAACCCUGAUGCAGCCAUGCCGCGUGUGUGAAGAAGGCCUUCGGGUUGUAAAGAACUUUAAGUAGGGAAGAAGAAAGUGACGGUACCUACAGAAUAAGCGACGGCUAAAUACGUGCCAGCAGCCGCGGUAAUACGUAUGUCGCAAGCGUUAUCCGGAAUUAUUGGGCAUAAAGCGCGUCUAGGCGGUUUACUAAGUCUGAUGUGAAAAUGCGGAGCUCAACUCCGUAUUGCGUUGGAAACUGGUAGACUAGAGUAUUGGAGAGGUAGGCGGAACUACAAGUGUAGAGGUGAAAUUCGUAGAUAUUUGUAGGAAUGCCAAUGACGAAGGUAGCUUACUGGACAAAUACUGACGCUGAAGCGCGAAAGCUAGGGGAGCAAACAGGAUUAGAAACCCCGGUAGUCC
rnacentral:rRNA from 1 species